rnacentral:rRNA from 1 species
AAGGCGGGCUGGAAUCUCUCGGGGUUCAGCCUUGCUGAAUUAUUCACCCUUGUCUUUUGCGUACUUCUUGUUUCCUUGGUGGGUUCGCCCACCACUAGGACAAACAUAAACCUUUUGUAAUUGCAAUCAGCGUCAGUAACAAAUUAAUAAUUACAACUUUCAACAACGGAUCUCUUGGUUCUGGCAUCGAUGAAGAACGCAGCGAAAUGCGAUAAGUAGUGUGAAUUGCAGAAUUCAGUGAAUCGAUCGAAUCUUUGAACGCACAUUGCGCCCUUUGGUAUUCCAAAGGGCAUGCCUGUUCGAGCGUCAUUUGUACCCUCAAGCUUUGCUUGGUGUUGGGCGUCUUGUCUCUAGCUUUGCUGGAGACUCGCCUUAAAGUAAUUGGCAGCCGGCCUACUGGUUUCGGAGCGCAGCACAAGUCGCACUCUCUAUCAGCAAAGGUCUAGCAUCCAUUAAGCCUUUUUUUCAACUUUUGACCUCGGAUCAGGUAGGGAUACCCGCUGAACUUAAGCAUA